AGUGAACAACAGAAAGAGGACAUCUCUCAGGCUCCUCAAUGAAAAUUGAAGCCCACUGGAAAACUGACGAGAAUCUCUGCAAUAAAGGCACACCAUUACUUGGACUUUACACACAAUCUUGCUCUGGAGAAUCCUUUCAGAGGAGGAAUAGUCGUCCCCACAAGAUUUCAUCAGAAGAAGCAAAGCUGUUAUACUGGAUUUCACUUGCAAUCACAUGA
rnacentral:lncRNA from 1 species